AACGCUGGCGGCAUGCCUUACACAUGCAAGUCGAACGGCAGCACGGGAGCAAUCCUGGNGGCGAGUGGCGAACGGGUGAGUAAUAUAUCGAACGUGCCCAGUCGUGGGGGAUAACGUAGCGAAAGCUACGCUAAUACCGCAUACGAUCUAUGGAUGAAAGCGGGGGAUCGCAAGACCUCGCGCGAUUGGAGCGGCCGAUAUCAGAUUAGGUAGUUGGUGAGGUAAAGGCUCACCAAGCCGACGAUCUGUAGCUGGUCUGAGAGGACGACCAGCCACACUGGGACUGAGACACGGCCCAGACUCCUACGGGAGGCAGCAGUGGGGGAAUAUUGGACAAUGGGCGAAAGCCUGAUCCAGCAAUGCCGCGUGAGUGAUGAAGGCCUUCGGGUUGUAAAGCUCUUUUACUCGGGACGAUAAUGACGGUACCGAGAGAAUAAGCCCCGGCUAACUCCGUG
rnacentral:rRNA from 1 species